AUUUACCCCAAACACCCCAAAUUCCCAUUUUUUUCUCCCAAAAUGGAUUUUGGGGUUCCCCAGAUCCCAGAUUUAUCCCAAAUCCCCAUUUUUUUUUAGGAUGGCUUCGUGCAGAGCGUGCACACCCCCUGGGUGCGGGUGUGGGGUCACUCUGGGCUGGAUUUUGGGGUUCCCAGUUUAUCCCAGUCCCCAUUUCCCAGGAUGGCUUUGUUCAGAACCUGCACACGGGUCCUGGGCUGGAUUUUGGGGAUCCCUGGAUAUCCCAAGCACCCCAAAACUCCAUUUUCCCAGGAUGGCUUCGUGCAGAACGUGCACACGCCGCGGGUGCGGGUGUGGGGUCACUCUGGGAUGGAUUUUGGGGUUCCCCAGAUCCCAGGUUCACCCCAGACCCCCCCAUUCCCAGGAUGGCUUCGUGCAGAACGUGCACACGCCGCGGGUGCGGGUGUGGGGUCACUCUGGGCUGGAUUUUGGGGUUCCCCAGAUCCCAGGUUCACCCCAGCCCCCCAUUUUCCCAGGAUGGCUUCGUGCAGAACGUGCACACGCCGCGGGUGCGGGUGUGGGGUCACUCUGGGCUGGAUUUUGGGGUUCCCCAGAUCCCAGGUUCACCCCAGCCCCCCAUUUUCCCAGGAUGGCUUCGUGCAGAACGUGCACACGGGUCACUCUGGGCUGGAUUUUGGGGUUCCCCAGAUCCCAGGUUCACCCCAGCCCCCCAUUUUCCCAGGAUGGCUUCGUGCAGAACGUGCACACGCCGCGGGUGCGGGUGUGGGGUCACUCUGGGAUGGAUUUUGGGGUUCCCCAGAUCCCAGGUUCACCCCAGACCCCCCCAUUCCCAGGAUGGCUUCGUGCAGAACGUGCACACGCCGCGGGUGCGGGUGUGGGGUCACUCUGGGAUGGAGGUUCCCAGGUUCACCCCAAUCCCCAUUUUCCCAGGAUGGCUUCGUGCAGAACGUGCACACGCCGCGGGUGCGGGUGGACCCCGACGGGCGCUGCGCGGUGAUGCUGAUCUACGGCACGCGCCUGGUGGUGCUGCCCUUCCGCCGAGACUCGCUGGCCGACGAGCACGAGGGGCUGGUGGGAGAGGGGUGAGAGACCCCCGGGCCCGCCCUGAGCCCCCCAAACCAGAGACACCUGAGCCCCACCAAACCAGAGACACCCUGAGCCCCCCAAAACCAGAGAAACUCCCCCCCCCCCCCCCCCCCCCCCCCCCCCCCCCCCCCCCCCCCCCCCCCCCCCCCCCCCCCCCCCCCCCCCCCCCCCCCCCCCCCCCCCCUGUCCCAGCUGUGGCACCCAAACCAGAGACACCCUGAGCCCCAAAACCAGAGACACCCCCUGAGCCCCAAAACCAGAGACACCCUGAGCCCCCCAAACCAGAGACACCCUGUGCCCCCCAAACCAGAGACACCCUGAGCCCCCCAAAACCAGAGACCCCCCCCCCCCCCCCCCCCCCCCCCCCCCCCCCCCCCCCCCCCCCCCCCCCCCCCCCCCCCCCCCCCCCCCCCCCCCCCCCCCCCCCCCCCCCCCCCC
rnacentral:lncRNA from 12 species